AGGGAAAGAGGGAGGAAGGAAGAAAAUAGGAAAGUAGAGUGGAUGAAGGGAGCUUGCUCCUGGAUUCAGCGGCGGACGGGUGAGUAAUGCCUAGGAAUCUGCCUGGUAGUGGGGGAUAACGUCCGGAAACGGGCGCUAAUACCGCAUACGUCCUGAGGGAGAAAGUGGGGGAUCUUCGGACCUCACGCUAUCAGAUGAGCCUAGGUCGGAUUAGCUAGUUGGUGGGGUAAAGGCCUACCAAGGCGACGAUCCGUAACUGGUCUGAGAGGAUGAUCAGUCACACUGGAACUGAGACACGGUCCAGACUCCUACGGGAGGCAGCAGUGGGGAAUAUUGGACAAUGGGCGAAAGCCUGAUCCAGCCAUGCCGCGUGUGUGAAGAAGGUCUUCGGAUUGUAAAGCACUUUAAGUUGGGAGGAAGGGCAGUAAGUUAAUACCUUGCUGUUUUGACGUUACCAACAGAAUAAGCACCGGCUAACUUCGUA
rnacentral:rRNA from 1 species